rnacentral:rRNA from 1 species
UACGUAGGGGGCUAGCGUUGUCCGGAAUCAUUGGGCGUAAAGCGCGCGUAGGCGGCCCAGUAAGUCCGUUGUAAAAGUCAAAGGCUCAACCUUUGGAAGCCGAUGGAUACUGCUGGGCUAGAGUCCGGAAGAGGCGAGUGGAAUUCCUGGUGUAGCGGUGGAAUGCGCAGAUAUCAGGAGGAACACCGAUAGCGAAGGCAGCUCGCUGGGACGGUACUGACGCUGAGGCGCGAAAGCGUGGGGAGCGAACAGG